CAUCAGGCAGGCUGCUGGAAAUUAUAUUGGAAGCUUUUUGGCAAGAGCUAAAUUUAUUUCUCUUAUUACUGUAAAACCAUGCCUAGAUCUUUUGGUUAACUGGCUGCACAUAUACCUUAAUAACCAGGAUUCGGGAACAAAGGCAUUCUGCGAUGUUGCUCUCCAUGGACCAUUUUACUCAGCCUGCCAAGCUGUGUUCUACACCUUUGUUUUUAGACACAAGCAGCUUUUGAGCGGAAACCUGAAAGAAGGUUUGCAGUAUCCUCAGAGUCUGAAUUUUGAGCGGAUAGUGAUGAGCCAGCUAAAUCCCCUGAAGAUUUGC
rnacentral:lncRNA from 1 species